AUAAACAGUGUCCCAAAUAAUGUCCCUAAUUAUUGUUUGUAGUACUGGUAAGUGGUAACAUAAAAGUUAUGGUAGCAAUACCCCAAAGUGCUUGGGCAUUUUGGGAAACACCCGGUCACGAUUGGAGAUUGCAGCCUCAAUUUCACUCAUGUGACAAACUCCAUAUUUUUGCCUUAAUGUCAGUAUAUUUGUCAAACAAGUAGUUGAACGUGAUGCCUUGUAAAAAUGCUAGAUGGUAUUCAAUAAUCGUACGAAGCAUAAUCACACAUGGUUUCAAUUAAUAGAUUGUGAAAUAGAACAUGUCAAUUUCAAGAACAGUUGUGGCAAAAUUUUCCCAGAUUUUCUUAUUUUAAAAAUUCGUCAAAAGCCCAGGCGUUGCCCGGGGGGGGGGGUAAUGCCUGGAUUUGACUUAUGCAAAUGCUCUAAAAUUUAUUGUACCUUUCCUUUGGACCAAGUUGACUAUAACGAUGACCAUCACGAGUUAUAAACGUUUCGGCCGCAAGAUCCAACGACCAUCUGUUUAGGCACACUGCUGAAAAACCAGGGUGAUCUGUUUAUACACAAAUUACUUCUUUGUCAACUGACCCAGGAUAGCCCAAAUCAUCAACAAAUUCGACACAUUUUUCGAUUUUUCUGCAACAAUAGCAUUCUUUAGCAUUUCAGUGUUGGUUUCCACACCUGCACCUAAAUGACAGUAAACUAAUUUAUACAAUAUGUAAAUAUCCGGAGCCAAACAUG